rnacentral:rRNA from 1 species
CCUACGGGAGGCAGCAGUGGGGAAUAUUGCACAAUGGGGGAAACCCUGAUGCAGCGACGCCGCGUGAGUGAAGAAGUCUUUCGGUAUGUUAAGCUCUAUCAGCAGGGAAGAAAAUGACGGUACCUGAUUCAGAAGCCCCGUCUAACUACGUGCCAGCAGCCGCGGUAAUACGGAAGGGGCAAGCGUUAUCCGGAUUUACUGGGCGUAAAGGGAGCUUAGACGGCAGCACAAGUCUGGAGUGAAAUGCUGGGGCUUAACCCCGGAACUGCCUUGGAAACUGGGCAGCUAGAGUGCAGGAGAGGUAAGUGGAAUGCCUAGUGUAGCGGUGAAAUGCGUAGAUAUCAGGCGGAACCCCAGUGGCGAAGGCGGCUUACUGGACUGUAACUGACGUUGAGGCUCGAAAGCGUGGGGAGCAAACAGGAUUAGAUACCCGAGUAGUC